AUGGCUAAAGCAUCUCACCAGAUAGACAGAAACACCACUCUUCCAAUCCGCACUAAAACUCCCUCCUCCUCCAAGUCCAGUAAAAAAUGCUUCACCCUUCCUUUAUCUACCAAUUCUCAAAGACUCUCCGCUUUCAUUCUCACCACAGGUCUCACAAUCUUUGCCCUCUCACGAAUCCCAAAUCUCCAAACCCCACCAUCUUCACCUUUAGCACCAUCACCUCCCUGGUCUCUCAAGCGUCAGUGGCAUAAUAUCCUCAACACCGCCCUAAGCCCUGAUAAUUCGACCCUAGAAUCUGAGCUCGAAGCUAUGGCCGAAAAGCUCCGUGAAUCAGUCACAUUUCUUCCGCUCAAGGACAUGCGCUUUCGUGGACCGACCUCAAGAGGGCCAUACGUGGUUCAUGAGCUCCAUGUACGAUGCUCAUGUCGAAGGCGAGGUCCAGUACCAGCACUUCCCCUCGGAAUCGUCGAAAGGUAGGGUUCUGUGCGUUAAAGGACAUGACACCCAUGAUGGCUCGUGGAACUACUACGCGCUCGCGUGGCCUGAAACUCUCCCGGCCAAUGCCAUGCUCAUGAGAGGCCUAACCUUUGUAUCGUAUAAUCACUACCAUUAUGACAAUAUCUGGCACGGCUUGUCGUCCAUUUUUCCGUUCGUAUCGUGGCAUCAGAGGAACAGCUGCAGGUCCCCCGACCGGUGGGUCUUGUACCACUGGGGCGAGCUCAGGUUCAAGAUGUCACCAUGGCUGAAUAACUUGAUGGAGGCAACGUUCGGAAAGCAACCACACAUAGAAGAGUUUGACAAGAUUGAGGAAAACACUCCGGUUUGUUUUGAGGAGGCAGUUGUUAUGAGACACAAUGAAGGUGGUAUGUCUAGACAGAGAAGAGUGGAGGCCUACGACUUAUUGAGGUGCAAAGCAAGAAACUACUGUAACAUGAAGUUGAGAGGCGAAAUCGAAGAGGCUCAUGGAAAGAAGAGAAAUGGUAUCGUUGGUCUGACUAUGUUCAUGCGAAGAGGAGCGAGAUCAUUCAAGAAUGACUCAGCUGUGAUUGAGAUUUUUCAGAGAGAAUGCAAUAAGGCCGAAGGGUGUAGCCUGAUGGUGGCCUACUCCAGUAAUCUCGGUUUCUGUGAACAGGUGAAAUUGAUGAGCAUGACAGACAUUCUAGUGUCUCCACACGGUGCACAGUUGACCAACAUGUUCCUAAUGGACAGAAACAGCAGCAUAAUGGAGUUCUACCCAAAGGGUGGUUGAAAAAUGCAGGAGUCGGCCAGUAUGUUUACCGCUGGUUAGCUAGUUGGUCAGGGAUGAGAUACGAGGGUGCUUGGAGGGACCCAAAUGGAGAACCAUGUCCCUAUCCGGAGGAAGAUCGUCGAUGUAUGUCCAUCUACAAAAGCGGCCAAAUUGGAUACAACAUGACAUUAUUUACUGAGUGGGCGACAAAUGUCCUUCAACAGGUCAUUACCACCAGGAAAGGAACACUGUCGAAGCAUUCUUUUGGUGGCUGUGCUUGCAGCUAGAUCUGCCUCUUUUAGAUCUCACACUAUAUACAUAGAGCUUGAUGCAUAAAAAAUAAACAAAACAAACGCGUCUAUUCUUCUAUAGUGCUCUUGAUGUACCUGUGUAAGUGUGCUCUAGGCCCGAAAAAAAUGCCUUUGCAACAAUAGGAUCAAAUGUUUGAGCCCAUCCUACAUGUUGCACCAGGGAAGAUUUCAUCAAAAGCACCUCUAGAUUGUCCAUUACCUCAACGUUUAAACAUAUGCACUACCUAAUCAGGUGCAGGUUCCAGCGGGUUUAGCUCUGCUUUACUCAUCAGAUCGGUACCAUAGCCCAGAGAUUAUUUGACCAAAAACGAAUUUCUUGAGAAAUUUCUUUUACUCUUGCGGUAUCAACAUA